UUGAGGGCAACUCUUCCAUAAGAGAAAAUUUUAUUUCCCCAAAGAGGGUUGAGAAGAAUAAAUUGGGACAAGUAUUAGAAACAUGAUUUCCAUGUUCUAGAAGACAUUGGUAUCCAGGGAGUUUCAGAACACAAAAACAUUUUGAGAUUUUAGAGUCAAACCUCUGCAAAAAGCUCUGAAAAAAACAGAAGAAAUGUUACAUAUUAUUUACUCCAAGAACAUCUUUAAAUUUUAGAUUAAUUUGAGACUUUGAGAAUCUUUUCUUUACUCACAAUUUAGAAAUAAUAUUGCUUUGGGAGUUCCCAUCGUGGCACAGUAGAAAUGAAUCUGACUAGGAACUAUGAGGUCGUGGGUUUGAUCUCUGGCCUCACUCAGUGGGUUAAGGAUCGAGUGUUGCUGUGAGCUGUGGUGUAGGUCAUAGACACAGCUUGGAUCUGGUGUUGCUGUGGUUAUAGGGUAGGCUGGAAGCUGUAGUUCUGAUUUGACUGCUAGCCUGGGAACCUCCAUACGCUGAGGGAGCAGACCUAAAAAAAAUAAAUAUUGCUUUGGGUAUUCCUCUGAAACUGAUGAUUUCUGAACCCAUGAGCUAAUGCCAUUUAGGAAUUAAUGAUGUACUAACUUUGCAUAUACUAACAUGUUCUGGGGAAACUAAGGCACAGAGAGAAAAAAUAAUUGCCCAAUGUCCUACAGCUGAGAGGGCUUCAGAGCCAGGCUGUCAAAUAUGACUCUAGAACUUCUAAUCUAGGAGUCCCAGUGUGGCGCAGUGGAAACAAAUCAACUAGGAGCCAGGAGGUUGUGGGUUUGAUCCCUGUCAUCACCCAGUGGGUUAAAAAUCUGGCUUUGCUAUGAGCUGUGGUGUAGGUCAUAGGCACGGCUCUGAUCCUGCAUUGCUGUGGCUGUGACGUAAGCCAGCAGCUAUAGCACAUAUUAGACCCCUAGCCUGGGAACAUCCAUAUUGCCACUGGUGUGGCCCCAAAAAUCAAAAACAAAAACAAAAACAAAAACAAAACAAAACAAAACAAAAUCCAAAAAACAAAGAAACAAAAAAAAAACCCUUCUAAUCUAGAAGUCUAAACUUCCACAAGCUAUAAUCAUAAGUCAGAAUCUUGUUCUAUAUUUUAGGAACUUGAAGACCACCUCCCCCCAAAAAAGUCACAGCUAGUGGCCAUCAAGCUAGUGGCCAUCAAGUCCUCUUCUUUCAGAACUCUGAGGCAAAAUUUGUCCUAUUGAAAAUGAUUAUCUACAUUGCUUAGACUUCAGACUUAUGGACUACAUAUUGGAGAAAAAAAUUUCUUUUUUUACCUGAAGUCUAAUAACUAUAACCAUUUGCACAUUUAAUCACAGAGUGUGACAUUUAUUUUUCCUCAUUUCCUGCAAGCACAAAGGAAUGACAGAACUGGAGCCUAUGCUUGGCUACCCAUUGUACUCUCCAUUUUUCUCUGGUAUAUGGACUCAGAAACUUUUGCACAAUGAAGCUACAGAGCUUUCCAGGUUGAACAUCAAUCAGUAUGCUUAAAAUACCUUACACCAUUGCCAAACAAAGAUACCUCUCUUCUUGACUGCUGGCUCAGCAAUCCCUUCAGAACUUUUGGAAAUGAAUAUAGAUGGAAAAUUGGCUGCUAACAGAUUUGCUGCUGUCAGUGUUAGCCAAACACACUGGAUAAAAAGAUUUUUCCAGCCUGACUUCAGUCUUGACUAAAAUUGACUGCAUUUUUUCCAAAGAAACCAUAGCACAAAAGGAAUAGCUAGGAGGUGUGAGCUCAAUACAAAUAGUCUACUCUCUACUAGAGUCAUGAAUAGAUAUUUUCACUCAUUGGUGCUUUAUGCAUGAAUAACGACCCUCUUUCUGGGGCCAAGUAUUGGCAACCAAAGGUGUCUUUGAACCAUAGUAAGAGUAAUAUCAUCAUAUAAUUUUAUAAUUGAUGAGGAAUAGCGUGUGAUAGUCAUUGGUGCUUUUCAUCAGAUAUUUGUGAAUUGACUUUUGCUGUUCACACAGUAAAUCUCCUUGGUGAGGAUACAUAACUUUGUCCUGCCACUGAGUUCUGAGUAGAAGGAAUUUGUGAGGCUGUUCCUCAGGCUGUGCAUUUAAUUGCUGGUAUGAGAACAUUCAGCAUUCUCUUUGCUUUUUGGUAUGGCAACCAACAGUGUUUGGCAUGGUGGCUACAGUUUAUUGAGCUUGGAUCCUUCAGGGGCUACAAUGUCUAAAUAGCCAACCAAAACUUAAUAUUGUGUUCUGAGUGAGAAUUUUUUGUUGCUUUAAGUCAUUAACUUUUUUGGAGGUCACUUGCUAUCAUAGCAAAGAUACUAACCUGAAGGAUAUAGAAAUUAGGAUAUAUAAUUAGGAUGUAUAUAGUAUAUAUAAUUAGAAUGGUGCACCAAACUAAAAUAUAUAGCUUUGGUUUAGGAACAAAGCAGUGGCUGGUGAGGAAACAGUUAGUGGAGUCCUAAAGAAUGGCUUUCUGAGUUAUUCCAUAGCAAAACAUUUAGUAAAUCCUUACCUGAAAUAGAUUAGAUGUACUUAGUAAUCUCAAGGUUUGGGAAGAGGUUUAAAAGCAGAAUACUAGUAGAAUGUGUUGGUUACUUUGGGCAGAAUUUGAUGAGGUACUGAGUCUGAAUCCCUAAGUGACUACAGAGACCCAAGUAUCCUGCAAAUACAUGAUGGACAAUAUGAAACCCUUUGCUCUUUUAUGCAACUGUCCCUAUGCCCUCUGGAGACAGAUACUGGCAGCAUCUAUGUUAAGGACUUUGUCAUAGAAUAAGGACACUGGUGCAAGUAAGUGCCAUUUUGGAGUACUCUCUGUAGCCUAUUAGCAACAGGAGCAUAUUAUCCCACCAGCUGGUGUAAUGAGUCCCAACCUUGCCCUCACUCAUCCCCACAGCCACCUGCCCCUGGACUAGCCUCUCCCUCUAGUAGGCUGUCACCAGACUUGCCCAGCUCCUCAGGCUACACAGAAAGUAACAUUGGGACCCAACCCCACCCCCAAGUAAGCUGGCAGCCACUGCAUGAAGUAGGGCCCAGCAGUCAACCUGACCAGGGGCCAGCACUACCUACCAGCAGGCUCCAUAAUAAUUGGCACCACCAGAACAGAAGUUCUCAUGCAGCCUACAUAGAGGGCAACCCUAGAACACAUAACUCUGGUAAACAGAGGAGAGUGUGCUACUGAGCCCCAUGAGAUAUCUCCUGUAGAAGGCCACCUCUCCAAGAUCAGGAAAUGUAACUGACCUACUUAAAACAUACAAAUAAACAAAGAGAAAUUAGGGAAAAUGAAGAGAUAGAUGUAUCUAUUCCAAAUGAAGCAAUAAGAUAAAACCUGAGAAAAAAGAACUAAACAAAGUGGAGAUAAACAAUCUACCUGACAACAUGUUCAAGAUAAUAAUCAUAAAGACGCUCAGUUAGUAGUUUCCAAUGUGGAGCAGUGGGUUAAGUAUCUGACUGCAGUGGCUUGGAUUCCUGUGGAGAUGCAGGUUCAAUCCCUGGCCCAGCACAUGGGGCUAAAGGAUCUGGUGUUACCACAGCUGCAGUGUAGGUGUCAGCUGUGUCUUGGAUUCAGUCCCUGGCCCAGGAACUUCCAAGUGCUGAAGAUGUGGCUAUAAAAUUAAAGGAAAAAAAAACCUCAAUUAACUCAGGAGAAGAGUGGAUGAACAUAUUGAAAAAUUUAACAAAGAGUUAGAAAACAUAAAGAAGAACCAACAGAGAUGAAGACUACAAAUAACUGAAAUAAAAAAUACAUGAGGAGAAAUCAACAGUAUAUUAGAUAUAACAGAUCAGCAAACUGAAAGACCUAGUAGAGGAAGUCACCCAAGCUUAACAAAAAUAAAUAUAUAAAUAAAUAAAUAAUUUUUAAAAAUGAGGAUAGUUUAAGAGACCUUUGGAACAACAUCAAGUAUACAAACAUUUGCAUCAUAGGGGUCCCAGAAGAAGGCAGAAAAAAAAAAGGGCAGAAAACUUACUUGAAGAAAUAAUAGCUGAAAACCUACUUAACAUGGGAAAGGAAACAGAUAUCUGGGUGUAGGAAGCACCAACCANUAUAAACACAAAAAAGUCUGCACCCAGGCAUAUUAUAAUUAGAAUGUCAAAAAUUAAAUGUAAAGAAAGAAUCUUAAAAGGAGCAAAAGAAAAGCAACUAGUUAUGUACAAGAGAACUCCCAUAAGACAACAAGCUGACUUUUCAGCAGAAACUUUGCAGGCCAAAAGGGAGUGGCAGAGUAUAUUCAAUGUGAUGAAAGGAAAAAAAAAAUGCAACCAUGAAUAUUUUACCCAGGAAGAUUAUUAUUCAGAUUUUAAGAGAAGUUAAAGAGUUUUACAGACAAGCAAAAGCGAAAAGAAUUCAGCACCAUUAAACCAGCUUAACAAGAAAUGUUAUAGGGAAUUCUCUAAUUGGAAAAGAAAAGAUCAUAACUAGAAAUAUGAAAAUUAUGAAAGGAAAAAAAUCUCAUUAAUAAAGCAAGCAUACAGCAAAGGUAGUAGAUAAACCAAUUAUAAAGCUAGUAGGAAGGUUAAAGGACAAAAGUAGUAAAAUUAUCUAUAUCCACAAGAAGUCGUUAAAGGAUACACAAAACAAAAGGAUAUAAAAUAUGAUGUCAAAAACAUUCAAUACGAGCUGGGGGUUGGUAAGAAUAUAUGAUCGUUAGAAUGUUUUUGAACUUAGAUCAUCAGCUUAAAAU
rnacentral:lncRNA from 1 species